rnacentral:rRNA from 1 species
CCUACGGGUGGCAGCAGUGAGGAAUAUUGGUCAAUGGGCGCGAGCCUGAACCAGCCAAGUAGCGUGAAGGAUGACUGCCCUACGGGUUGUAAACUUCUUUUAUAAAGGAAUAAAGUGAGGAACGUGUGCCGUUUUGUAUGUACUUUAGGAAUAAGGAUCGGCUAACUCCGUGCCAGCAGCCGCGGUAAUACGGAGGAUCCGAGCGUUAUACGGCUUUAGUGGGUUUAAAGGGAGCGUAGAGGGGUUGUUAAGUCAGUUGUGAAAGUUUGCGGCUCAACCGUAAAAUUGCAAUUGAUACUGGCAUCCUUGAGUACAGUUGAGGUAGGCGGAAUUCGUGUUGUCGCGGU